GUGCCAGCAGCCGCGGUAAUACGUAGGUGGCAAGCGUUGUCCGGAUUUAUUGGGCGUAAAGCGAGCGCAGGCGGUUUCUUAAGUCUGAUGUGAAAGCCCCCGGCUCAACCGGGGAGGGUCAUUGGAAACUGGGAGACUUGAGUGCAGAAGAGGAGAGUGGAAUUCCAUGUGUAGCGGUGAAAUGCGUAGAUAUAUGGAGGAACACCAGUGGCGAAGGCGGCUCUCUGGUCUGUAACUGACGCUGAGGCUCGAAAGCGUGGGGAGCGAACAGGAUUAGAUACCCUGGUAGUCCACGCCGUAAACGAUGAGUGCUAAGUGUUGGAGGGUUUCCGCCCUUCAGUGCUGCAGCAAACGCAUUAAGCACUCCGCCUGGGGAGUACGACCGCAAGGUUGAAACUCAAAGGAAUUGACGGGGGCCCGCACAAGCGGUGGAGCAUGUGGUUUAAUUCGAAGCAACGCGAAGAACCUUACCAGGUCUUGACAUCCUUUGACCACUCUAGAGAUAGAGCUUCCCCUUCGGGGGCAAAGUGACAGGUGGUGCAUGGUUGUCGUCAGCUCGUGUCGUGAGAUGUUGGGUUAAGUCCCGCAACGAGCGCAACCCUUAUUGUUAGUUGCCAUCAUUUAGUUGGGCACUCUAGCGAGACUGCCGGUGACAAACCGGAGGAAGGUGGGGAUGACGUCAAAUCAUCAUGCCCCUUAUGACCU
rnacentral:rRNA from 1 species